CCUAGUGCCGGCCGCCGGGCUCCACGCCCACCCCGCGAGCUCUCGGCGUUGGGGUCCGGAUGCGGCCAGACGGUCCCGGGGCCGCGAAAGUGAUGCUGCUGUUCUUGAGUUCCCAUACCUCCGAAGCCUCGGCUGUAGCCCUGAUGCUGUCCAUCCUCUAGCAUGCUGGCGCUGUGCCAUCAUCUCUCCCCCAACUAGACUGAGUCCUCCAGGAGGACAGGCACCUACCCAUGUCAUCUCUAGUUUCAGUGCCCAGCCUGAUGCCUGACUCAGACAGGGCCUCAGUAAAUGUCGCUGGAUGAA